rnacentral:tRNA from 1 species
GGAGGGUACAGCUCAGAGGUUGAGCACGUGCUUAGCAUGCACGAGGUCCUGGGUUCAAUUCCCAGGAUCUCCA